rnacentral:misc_RNA from 1 species
AUAACCUUUUGCCCAACCCCUAACACAAGGUAAAUAAUUAAUUUCUCGCUUUUUUACUGAUUUACAGCAGUUUAACCGUCCAAAAGGUAAUUAUAUAUGACCGUUGGAAAAAUUAAGGGCAUGUAGAGUAGACAUGAACGUUGGGUUAAUUUUGUCCUCUGACACAACACCCGAAUUUUAACGUUGCUGCUAAACAAAGAAUAUCUGAGAUUACUUUGGCAGUUCUGACAUUUACCAAAGCAUCAAGUCACUUCAGCUCUAUGUGUAUAAUUUAUAUGGCUGGCAGUAAUUUGCAUUAUUGAAGGGGGGCAUUAUAGUCUUUUCGAGCAAAAUUAAGAAAUUGGUUAUAUACUGUAGUAGACAAAAAAAAGUAAUUAGUUUAUAAUCGUUUCUGGCUUUACGCGAAAGCCACGCCGCAUGCGGGGUCUUUAAAGCAGGGGGCAGAAUCCGAAACAAAGACGCACAAGCCUACAAGCUAUUCCCGAAUCCCUAUAUAACUUUACAGUGAUGCGCAUUCCCCAAACCCAACUUCGUAACUGCCAGUGAUGGUAGCUAAUCUGACUCCCAAUCCUAAAAGCGCAAGUGGAUAGUUUUUUAUGUUUUUUUCUAUAAGCAAUGUUUAUGUUACCAUCUUACAGACCCUAACGGAUAGUUGUUGGGUGAUUUUGCAGCCAGAAAGCUUCGCAGGGUCAGAACACAGAUGGUGCAAUUACAAGCACAGUCAACAGCACCAUGGUUUAUGAAG